AAACUUCGGUUUUUCCUGUUGAAAUUCCUUCUAUUUUCUCAUAUUCAACCUUUUCACUACUUCUUGUGACUUGCCCUUCCUCAGAUGAAGUUUGCGGUACUGAUAUACUCUCUUGUACUGUAGUAAAAUCACCAUAUACACCAUCUUUGUCUCCGUCGCCUUCGGCUUUUAGCGUUUCAGAUUCAUCGUUGUCUGUCCCAAUUGAAAUGCUAGCAAACCCAGAAGCAUUUUCAUGUACUGAGAAACGGGUAUGCGUCAAAAUUGAAUUUUUGAAUCCACUCGCCGAGAAAUUAUUGGGCAAGCCGGUGAGGGUCUGUGCAGAAAUGGGUGUGCGAACCACAAGCGAGGUUGUAUUGAACUCAAAACUUGCGUCUUGGAGAAUCAAAGGGCUGGAUUUGAAUAAGCAGACGGUUAAAAAUGUGAGGAAAAUUAUAGAAGAUGAGAGUGUGAAAGAGAAGACCAGGAAUCUUGUAGAUUUGAAGAAGAAACUUCUCUGCCUCUCCAUCUGAGUGAGCUCUUGCUCAGCUCUCUGUGAGAUUGAGAAGUUCCACUUAACCUAAAAUAAAAGGUUAAAGUUUGUUGAGGUUUGAUUAAGAAAAGAGCCAUGCAUCAUAUGUC
rnacentral:misc_RNA from 1 species